AUUGAACGCUGGCGGCAGGCCUAACACAUGCAAGUCGAACGGUAGCACAGAGGAGCUUGCUCCUUGGGUGACGAGUGGCGGACGGGUGAGUAAUGUCUGGGAAACUGCCCGAUGGAGGGGGAUAACUACUGGAAACGGUAGCUAAUACCGCAUAACGUCGCAAGACCAAAGAGGGGGACCUUCGGGCCUCUUGCCAUCGGAUGUGCCCAGAUGGGAUGAGCUAGUAGGUGGGGUAACGGCUCACCUAAGUGACGAUCCCUAGCUGGUCUGAAGGGAUGACCAGCCACACUGGAACGGAGACACGGUCCAGACUCCUACGGGAGGCAGCAGUGGGGAAUAUUGCACAAUGGGCGCAAGCCUGAUGCAGCCAUGCCGCGUGUAUGAAGAAGGCCUUCGGGUUGUAAAGUACUUUCAGCGAGGAGGAAGGCGUUGUGGUUAAUAACCGCAGCGAUUGACGUUACUCGCAGAAGAAGCACCGGCUAACUCCGUGCCAGCCGCCGCCGUAA
rnacentral:rRNA from 1 species